UACGUAGGGUGCGAGCGUUGUCCGGAAUUAUUGGGCGUAAAGGGCGCGUAGGCGGGAUGGCAAGUCAGUCGUGAAAUCUCUCGGCUCAACCGAGAAACGUCGGCUGAUACUGCCGUUCUUGAGGGAUGCAGAGGAGACUGGAAUUCCCAGUGUAGAGGUGAAAUUCGUAGAUAUUGGGAAGAACACCGGUGGCGAAGGCGGCUCUCUGGACCGAGACUGACGCUGAGGCGCGAAAGCGUGGGGAGCAAACAGG
rnacentral:rRNA from 1 species